AACAAGCUAUCGAUUUCCGCAUUGUGCAAAAGCCUGUUUCGGACGUGGCUCCUGUGGGCCAGUUGAACCGAACGCGAGGUUAAGGUGCCGGAAUACACGCUCAUCAGACACCACAAAAGGUGUUAGUUCAUCUAGACAGCCCGACGGUGGCCAUGGAAGUCGGAAUCCGCUAAGGAGUGUGUAACAACUCACGGGCCGAAUGAACUAGCCCUGAAAAUGGAUGGCGCUCAAGCGUGUUACCCAUACCUCGCCAUCGGGGUAGAAACGAUGCCCCGAUGAGUAGGCAGGCGUGGGGGUCCGUGACGAAGCCUUGGGAGUGAUCCCGGGUCGAACGGCCCCUAGUGCAGAUCUUGGUGGUAGUAGCAAAUACUCAAAUGAGAACUUUGAGGACUGAAGUGG
rnacentral:ncRNA from 1 species